rnacentral:SRP_RNA from 1 species
GCUGGGCGUGGUGGCACAUGCCUGUAGUCCCAGUUACUCUGGAGGCUGAGGCAGGAGAAUUGCUUGAACCCGGGAGGCAGAGGUUGCAGUGAGCUGUGAUUGUGCCACUGCACUCCAGCCUGGGUGACAGAGCAAGACUCUGUCUCAA